rnacentral:rRNA from 1 species
AGCAGCCGCGGUAAUUCCAGCUCCAAUAGCGUAUAUUAAAGUUGUUGCAGUUAAAAAGCUCGUAGUUGAAUUUCGGGAUCAAUAUAUCGGUCGUGCCUUUGGUACGUACUGGUAUCAUUGAUUUCUCCCUUCUGACGAAUCAUGAUGUCAUUAAUUUGGUGUCGUGGAGAAUCAGGACUGUUACUUUGAAAAAAUUGAGUGUUUAAAGCAAGCUAACGCUUGAAUACAUUAGCAUGGAAUAAUGAAAUAGGACGUUUGAUCCUAUUUUGUUGGUUUCUAGGAUCGACGUAAUGAUUAAUAGGGAUAGUUGGGGGCAUUAGUAUUCAAUUGUCAGAGGUGAAAUUCUUGGAUUUAUUGAAGACUAACUACUGCGAAAGCAUUUGCCAAGGAUGUUUUCAUUAAUCAAGAACGAAAGUUAGGGGAUCGAAGACGAUCAGAUACCGUCGUAGUCUUAACCAUAAACUAUGCCGACUAGGGAUCGGAUGAUGUUAAUUUUUAUGACUUCU